GGUGGAGUAUGUGGUUUAAUUCGAUGCAACGCGAAGAACCUUACCUGGUCUUGACAUCCCGAGUAUCUCCUGGAAACAGGAGAGUGCUUUCAUUAGAGAGAACUUGGUGACAGGUGCUGCAUGGCUGUCGUCAGCUCGUGUCGUGAGAUGUUGGGUUAAGUCCCGCAACGAGCGCAACCCUCGCCUUUAGUUGCCAUCAGGUUAUGCUGGGCACUCUAGAGGGACUGCCGGUGUUAAACCGGAGGAAGGUGGGGAUGACGUCAAGUCCUCAUGGCCUUUAUGACCAGGGCUACACACGUACUACAAUGGCAUGUACAAAGGGCAGCGAGCUCGCAAGAGUCAGCGAAUCCCAUAAAGCAUGUCCCAGUCCGGAUUGGAGUCUGCAACUCGACUCCAUGAAGUUGGAAUCGCUAGUAAUCGUGGAUCAGCAUGCCACGGUGAAUACGUUCCCGGGCCUUGUACACACCGCCCGUCACACCACGGGAGUUGGUUGUUCCAGAAGCAGUUGAGCUAACCUUAGGGAGGCAGGCUGCCAAGGAAUGGCUGGUAACUGGGGUGAAGUCGUAACAAGGUA
rnacentral:rRNA from 1 species